rnacentral:lncRNA from 1 species
CUUGGGAACACAAACCACCGUCUCCUUGGGAACAGGAACUGCCGUCUCCUUAGGAACACAAACCGCCGUCUCCUUGGGAACACGAACCGCCGUCGGUUAAUGAAUUCCAAGAUGCAAUUUUUUCGCCACGUGUCAGGAGCCUAUUGGGCCGAAACUGUUCACGUGGAUGGAGGCGACGUGGCUCGAUUUGGGGGCAAGUGCGUCGAACCGUCGGAUCGAGGAAG